GAGCAAGUCAUGGAGAGCAAGCCGGUAUGCAGCGUUCCUUCCUGGUCUCUGCUUCAUUUUCUGCCUCCAAGUUCCUGCCU
rnacentral:miRNA from 1 species